rnacentral:rRNA from 1 species
CCUACGGGAGGCAGCAGUGGGGAAUAUUGGACAAUGGGGGGAACCCUGAUCCAGCCAUGCCGCGUGUGUGAAGAAGGCCCUCGGGUUGUAAAGCACUUUCAGUGAGGAAGAACGCCUGGUGGUUAAUACCCAUCAGGAAAGACAUCACUCACAGAAGAAGCACCGGCUAACUCCGUGCCAGCAGCCGCGGUAAUACGGAGGGUGCGAGCGUUAAUCGGAAUUACUGGGCGUAAAGCGCGCGUAGGUGGCUUGAUAAGCCGGUUGUGAAAGCCCCGGGCUCAACCUGGGAACGGCAUCCGGAACUGUCAAGCUAGAGUGUAGGAGAGGAAGGUAGAAUUCCCGGUGUAGCGGUGAAAUGCGUAGAGAUCGGGAGGAAUACCAGUGGCGAAGGCGGCCUUCUGGACUGACACUGACACUGAGGUGCGAAAGCGUGGGUAGCAAACAGGAUUAGAUACCCUGGUAGUC